AUGUGUGUGUAUGUAUGUAUGUAUGUGGUAUGUGUGUGUGUCUGUAUAUGACAUAAACCUGACAGGUGAGAUAUAACAGCUGAACCAUCUUACAGACAGACAGAGGUCCUCUCUGUAAGUCAGGGGCCCAAGAAGGAGCAAGGAGGAGAUGGGAGGAGAUGGAAGAGCAGGGGAGAGCAGGGAGACUCCUCCGAGCCUGGGGUAUCUUACACAUAAGAGUCUAGUUGAAUUCUUGGAAUUUCCUUUAGCUAACGUGUUAAGAGCAGGCAGUCUCUGUCCUAAGUCCUUCCAUAUUGUAUAUAGCAGUAUUUUCCAGGCUGCCCCUUGCCCUGAGAGGCACUAUUUUACAAGCGGCUUUUGGCUUCAUUUUGAGUACAAAUGCUGUCGUACAUGAGAUGCAGGCGGAUAAAUAACUUAUUCCUAUAAGUAGGAAAGGUGUCGCCCUUUAUAUUUAUCAAAGUAAAUUGGGACCAUGUGAGCGUAUGAGCACAGUCCUCUCAGGAAAAUGAGGCCUGAGGACUUAAGGCACACACCAGACAGAGGAAACGGUGGAACAUUGCCACCUGGACCCCACGAAAGGACAGGCCCCCUACCCUGCCAUGGGCUCUAGUCCCACUGACCUGUCUGUCACCUGACCACCUGGGUUUUAUGUCAGUGGACUGACAGAAUUUCUGACUGUUCAGGGGCUUCAGUUUGGCUGACUCCCUGAUGUUGACACACCCUCCUUGAACUGCUAUCUUUCCAUCUGUCUGUCCAUCUGGACCUGCCAUCCAUCUGUCCAUCCUUCUGGACUGGUCUAGAUCCUCACCCCUGAUGCAAGACUCAACGUUGAGGCUCAACUCUGCUCUGCCGGCAGCCAGGCUCUGUAGUGGUAACUGUCAGUGGUAGCUCCGGCGCCUCUCCAGCCUGGUAUGUUACUAUCUCACCUCUCUACCCCCAGCCCAACUCUCUUUGUGUUCCUAUCAGCUUCUGUCUCUUAGGCCGCUUUGAAACUCCUUCAGAGCUUUAUCUUCCAAGAGUCUCAACUAGAUUUAAAUGGAGGACGCCCCAUGCUUUGAAGUCCAACUCCUUGCCUCCUUCUUGGCCUCUGACUUGAAGGGAGGACCCAGGCCUGCUGAGACAUCUUAAACUUUAGUGUACAUUCUGUAGCUUACAACUAUACCCGUAUACAUAGAUAGAUUUGCUAGGAGAUCUGUAAUGUAUGACCUGAGUUAAUAUUAGUAAUUAAGGUUGGAAUGAAAGAAUCUGUGUUUUCCUCAGCCAAGGCUAGGGAGGAGAGUGGAACAAGCUAAUGAAUUGCCCUCAGUGAAACGUCUUCACUCUGAGAAUUUGUUAUUCAAUAAAACGUGGUCCUCUAUGUUUCUGACAGAGCAUGUAUGUGUGUGCGCAGGACCCAAAGGAAGACUAGACUCCAAAGAAAUGCAGAUCACAGGGGAAGGAGUCAGGAAUGGAGGAAGUGAGGCAACUUGUGCCAGCUCUAGGGAACCCAAGGUCACAGGAGAAGCCAGGAAGACCCUUGGACAGACAUGAGCUGAGACCUCACAGAGAAGAGACAAAGUUUGCAAACAGGGAAAUGGCCCAAUAAAGACCCAACAGACCCAAUGGAGAGAGGAACAGGAAUGGGGUACAGCUCCUUCACUUGGACCUUAUAAUAUGGCCAACACUGACUGACAUCCGAUACCUGCCAAGAAUCCUAACAGAAGUCCCAAGGAUCCAAGUGCAUAUCGGAUGAACACUCUCCUUUCCCAAGAAGCGAUGACUCAUGGUGGAAGCCUGGGACACCAGACUUCAGAAGCGUGAGUGUGGCAGUGUGCCAGCAGGAAGGUGUUGCAGGAACAUCCAAGUCAACCCAAGGAAGCCCUCAGCUGAAGAUGACCUUUAACUUUUGAUUCUCCUGCUUCUACUGUAAGUGCUGAGAUUACGGGUAUGUGCUGUCACGUCUGUUUUUAUAGUGCUAAAGAUCAGACCCAGGGCUACAGCCUCAGUCCAUUUCCUUUUUUUUUAAAAAAGAUUUAUAUGUAUGAGUGUUUUGUCUGCACAUACGCAUGUGUGUGCCCAGUGCCCACAGAGCUCAGAAGACGGUGUUGGAUCCCCUGGAACUGGAGUUUUGGAUGGUUAUGAGACACUAUGCAGAUGCUAGCAAUGAAAACCAGGUCCUCUGCAAGAGUUGCGAGUGCUCAUGACUACUGAGCCAACUCUCCAGCCCCUCCUUGUUUUUUAAUAGAAUGCAUUGAGUUAUAUAACAUGCUUUUAAGUCCUGGUAAGAGCUAUGUUAAACCCAACUUACAGAACUCCUGGUAAUUUCGGAAGACGUUCUUGGAAACACACUCCAGUCUAACGCUGUCCCCUGCCCAGGUCCUGGUGGGCUCUGUGCUCCCAGGUACCCUCAGGGUUCUGAAUCCAUGGUCUUUACUACAACUUCCCUGCCCACCCCACCCUAGGCCCUCAGAGCUCAAAGCUCUCAUCCAGCCAGCAGCCUUGAUCUGCUCUGGUACUGAGAACCUCUGGCCAACCCUGUAAGGAAAGUACUCUCAAAGGCAGCCAUCCCUGUCUCUAGUUCUGAUUGUGGCGGCAGCCCCCCUGUACCCCUCUCCCCGUCUCCCUGGAAACUCUCGUCCUUAAAAAAAAAAAAAGGUUUUAUUAUGUGUAUGUGUGUGGGCGCGCA